AUUGAACGCUGGCGGCAGGCCUAACACAUGCAAGUCGAGCGCGCGGCGGACGGGUGAGUAAUGUCUGGGAAACUGCCUGAUGGAGGGGGAUAACUACUGGAAACGGUAGCUAAUACCGCAUACCAUCAGAUGUGCCCAGAUGGGAUUAGCUAGUAGGUGGGGUAACGGCUAACCUAGGAGACGAUCCCUAGCUGGUCUUGGAGGAUGACCAGCCACACUGGAACUGAGACACGGUCCAGACUCCUACGGGAGGCAGCAGUGGGGAAUAUUGUACAAUGGGCGCAAGCCUGAUGCAGCCAUGCCGCGUGUGGGAAGAAGGCCUUCGGGUUGUAAAGCACUUUCAGCGGGGAGGCGUUACCCGCAGAAGAAGCACCGGCUAACUCCGUGCCAGCAGCCGCGGUAAUUC
rnacentral:rRNA from 1 species